AAGUACUUUGCAGUCACAAGAGUCAAUGUAGAAGUAUUCAGAAAAUAACCAAUUAUAUCACAUGUACAGUCACAACAAUAUUCUCUCCAUGUAUGUGUUUACUAUACUGCACAGUGUGCCAUGACUCAGAGCAGCAUGACCUACUGUCUUACUGGGAAACUUACAGGAAGUCAAAAAAGAAACAGUAAAGACAAGGAAGUACAUAGCGUCUUUCAGCCUGCACUCUGAGGGGGUAUUGUGCAGCAGUUAAUUUAACAGACAAAUAAGAUAAUUGACAGCGUGUAAGGGCACUUCAAUCUUAACUCUGUGUAUUGUUCAGAAGAUAAUAGAGAUAAGCCCACUCUAAGCAGCACAAGGACCAUAUACAGUAGACCUAUCCUGUUCUGAGGAUGUAUUUUAGCAACUCUUCUAAUGUCAGCUGUGAGGUUGAAUGGGCUAACCAGGCUAUCACUACUGCACAUAUUUUGAAACGUUUUCCCAACAACGCACU